rnacentral:rRNA from 1 species
UGGGGAAUUUUGGACAAUGGGCGAAAGCCUGAUCCAGCCAUGCCGCGUGAGUGAAGAAGGCCUUCGGGUUGUAAAGCUCUUUUAGUCGGAAAGAAAGAGUUGCAAUGAAUAAUUGUGAUUUAUGACGGUACCGACAGAAAAAGCACCGGCUAACUACGUGCCAGCAGCCGCGGUAAUACGUAGGGUGCGAGCGUUAAUCGGAAUUACUGGGCGUAAAGGGUGCGCAGGCGGUCUUGCAAGUCAGGUGUGAAAGCCCCGGGCUUAACCUGGGAAUUGCGUUUGAAACUACAAGACUAGAGUGCAGCAGAGGGGGGUGGAAUUCCACGUGUAGCAGUGAAAUGCGUAGAGAUGUGGAGGAACACCGAUGGCGAAGGCAGCCCCCUGGGCCUGUACUGACGCUCAUGCACGAAAGCGUGGGGAGCAAACA